rfam:Rattus norvegicus chromosome 11, whole genome shotgun sequence.
GUCAGAUGAUGACGGCCUGUGCAGAAACCCCCACGUGGGCUGCCCAGGUUUGAACCCCUGGC